rnacentral:rRNA from 1 species
UACGUAGGUGGCAAGCGUUGUCCGGAUUCACUGGGUGUAAAGGGAGCGUAGACGGCCAUGCAAGCCAGGGGUGAAAGCCCGGGGCCCAACCCCGGGACUGCCCUUGGAACUGCAUGGCUGGAGUGCGGGAGGGGCAGGCGGAAUUCCUGGUGUAGCGGUGAAAUGCGUAGAUAUCAGGAGGAACACCGGCGGCGAAGGCGGCCUGCUGGACCGCGACUGACGUUGAGGCUCGAAAGCGUGGGGAGCGAACAGG